AGCAGCCGCGGUAAUUCCAGCUCCAAUAGCGUAUAUUAAAGUUGUUGCAGUUAAAAAGCUCGUAGUUGAAUUUCGGGAUCAAUAUAUCGGUCAUGCUUAGGUAUGUACUGGUAUUAUUGAUUUCUCCCUUCUGAAGAACCAUGAUGUCAUUAAUUUGGUGUCGUGGGGAAUCAGGACUGUUACUUUGAAAAAUUAGAGUGUUUAAAGCAGGCAUACGCUUGAAUACAUUAGCAUGGAAUAAUGAAAUAGGACGUUUGAUUCUAUUUUGUUGGUUUCUAGGAUCGACGUAAUGAUUAAUAGGGAUAGUUGGGGGCAUUAGUAUUCAAUUGUCAGAGGUGAAAUUCUUGGAUUUAUUGAAGACUAACUACUGCGAAAGCAUUUGCCAAGGAUGUUUUCAUUAAUCAAGAACGAAAGUUAGGGGAUCGAAGACGAUCAGAUACCGUCGUAGUCUUAACCAUAAACUAUGCCGACUAGGGAUCGGAUGAUGUUAAUUUUUUAAUGUA
rnacentral:rRNA from 1 species